UACGGAGGGAGCUAGCGUUGUUCGGAAAUACUGGGCGUAAAGCGCACGUAGGCGGCGCAGCAAGUCAGGGGUGAAAUCCCGGGGCUCAACCCCGGAACUGCCCUUGAAACUGCAGCGCUAGAAUCUUGGAGAGGCGAGUGGAAUUCCGAGUGUAGAGGUGAAAUUCGUAGAUAUUCGGAAGAACACCAGUGGCGAAGGCGACUCGCUGGACAAGUAUUGACGCUGAGGUGCGAAAGCGUGGGGAGCAAACAGG
rnacentral:rRNA from 1 species